rnacentral:rRNA from 1 species
GAUGAACGCUGGCGGCAUGCCUAAGACAUGCAAGUCGAACGAAGUGUGCCGAUUGAAGUUUGGAGUGCUUGCACAAAGAACGGAAUCGGAAUUGCACUUAGUGGCAGACGGGUGAGUAACACGUGGGUAAUCUACCUCGAAGACUGGGAUAACAGCUAGAAAUGGUUGCUAAUACCGGAUAAUUCUUAAUCGGAUAACUGAUUAAGCUAAAAGGAGCUUCGGCUUCACUUCGAGAUGAGCUUGCGGUGUAUUAGCUAGUGGUGGGGCAAUGGCUACCAAGGCAACGAUGCAUAGCCGAGCUGAGAGGCUGAACGGCACAUUGGGACUGAGACAC